rnacentral:tRNA from 1 species
AGGAAUGUAGUUAAAUUUAUAAUAUUUAUUUUGCUAAUAAAAGUUAUUAGAUAAAUUAUUCUUG